GUUCCGAUCUCAGGCUGGCACGUUUCAAACUGUGUAAGCCAGGUCGGUUUCUAUCCUCAAUAUUUGUUUAGUUUUUAGUACGAAAGGACCAUUACUAGGAAAUAAUUUUUAUUUUUUGAUUAUCAUU
rnacentral:rRNA from 1 species